UGGACUAGAUGACCUAACAAGGUCCCUUCCAGUCUGACAUUCUUAUGAUUUUUAAGGUUCAAAUCUCAGCUAGCAUUUCUUUACCAUUAUAUAAAUUAUUGCACUACUGUGCACUUACUAGUACUCACCAGGGGAGCUGUACCUUUAGGAGGUUCAAUUCCCAGUUUAGACCUGUGCCUGAUUUCUCCCACUCCCUCCAGAUCACAUGACUAAGGGCUAGGAGCAAAGCCUGCUGGGAAGAGUGGAAGGACUUUCCCUCUAUCUGGAGGACCAAACCACUAAAAUUAUCCACCUGAAUCAUCCUACCAUGCUGGGAAAGACACUGUGAAGCUGAGACAGAGUAGGAAGAAGCUGAGGGAUGGUUCUGAACCUGAUGUUGCAGAGCUUUUCAUCAUAAAAAUAGUGUUGCCAAUAACAUCACCUAGCUGACAACCAAGCGGGGAGUUUCCAAACGUCUUCCAGAACACUGACUCCUUGUUAUAAAUUCAAGAUUGCUAAUCGCAAUGGUGCAUAUCACAUCUGUACUAGGCUUCAGGACUGGAAAGAAGCAACCUCCCUACUGCUGGAUGGAAUUGGGAAAGAUGUUUUCAGUCUGCAUAUGCAUCAGCAUUAGCCAUUUCUUUGUCAACAAAUCCCUUAAAACAGACUAUUUCUAUUAUGUACAGAUGUCCAAGAAAUAAUGGAAUACUGUACUACAAGAUUAAACACUUUAAUGUCAGCAUAUGUGCUGCAGGACUCUGAACAAUGGUGUCAUUGUAUAUGUACCAAAAGGGAGGGCUAAGGGAAGAUGGGUUUAAUUAUGUCUAGAGCAGCAGCAAAUUCUUCCCAAAUGGAGCUGAACUCCAGCAAGCAAGGAUGCAUAGACUGGAGACUGAUAUUAAAACAAAGUGUUUGUGCCCUUUCUCAUAUUCACCCAUUAGGCUUGAAAUGGCAAACCUAGUCUUACCUGUCUGAUUUCAUAAGAAUGGUGUUGAACCACCUGGCUUCCUAGAACUGCUGCAGCAACAGGAAGUAAUGAGUUUAGAUGAUAUUGGAAACCACCACAUCCUGUCAUCCCACAUGUUACCCAGGAGUU